rnacentral:lncRNA from 12 species
UGGAUCCGGAUGUUCUUAGGAGCAUCCUUGUGAGUCAGAACACAAGUGAGCAUGGAAGACUCCCAACAGCUACAGCGAAAGCUUCCACUGCAAGGGAGCUCCAAAAUCCUCAACUGGAAAAUGUCUUAUUGUUGCAACCCCUGUGUCUCUUCGUAAAACAGUUCUUUCUUUUCCUGCAUAAUUUUAUACGAAGGAAGUUUCAGGGAAGUUUCAGGGAAGGGAAGUUUCAGGGAAGGGAAGGUUCAGGGAAGGGAAGGUUCAGGGAAGGGAAGGUUCAGGGAAGGGAAGGGAAGGGAAGGGAAGGGAAGAAGGGAAAUUAGCAGAAAGUGAUGCCUAAUCGAUUUUUGCAGAAUCUUUUAGCAAUCUUUUAGCAAUCUUUAACAA